rnacentral:tRNA from 1 species
AAUAAAGUAAGCUAAUAAAAGCUUUUGGGUUCAUACCCCAAAAAUGGAAGGAUAAAUACCUCCCUUUAUUU